rnacentral:lncRNA from 1 species
GUUUCCUUUCCUCCCGUAUCCCAUGAACAAAACCAAUCAAAACAGAACCCAUCUUCCCAGCAGUCCACCUGUGAUGCAUGCAAAAGGUUCCACGCAUCAAAGGUUUCUUUCCUUCCGGAUUCCCCUGUGUUGAAACAGAGUCCCAGCGAUUCCUCCGUGAUCCGACUUCAUUCUUAUCCCAAAGCCAAGAUCCAUUCCAUCGCGACGGAUUCCUCCCAGCCUUUUUGCUCCCAUCCGCCCGUUGUUCUCCCACGAACCGAUUCCAUCCCAGCUUAUCCCAACUAGAUUCCCAACUCUCAUCCUC